rnacentral:rRNA from 1 species
UACAGAGGUCUCAAGCGUUGUUCGGAUUCAUUGGGCGUAAAGGGUGCGUAGGCGGCGCGGUAAGUCGGGAUGUGAAAUCUCGGAGCUUAACUCCGAAACUGCAUUCGAUACUGCCGUGCUUGAGGACUGGAGAGGAGACUGGAAUUUACGGUGUAGCGGUGAAAUGCGUAGAUAUCGUAAGGAAGACCAGUGGCGAAGGCGGGUCUCUGGACAGUUCCUGACGCUGAGGCACGAAGGUCAGGGGAGCAAACGGG